rnacentral:tRNA from 1 species
GAGGGUAGAGCUCAGUGGUGGAGCACAUGCUUAGCAUGCACGAGGUCCUGGGUUCAAUCCCCAGUGCCUCCA